AUCUUCUGCUUCACCCCAUGCUCGGUCCCUGAGCCAGUUCUGUCAUUGGUUCUUUCAGACCAGGGCAGGAAAAGUCAAGAAAGCAAAAGCGGAUUCUAGGCUGUGGGGUUUGCUGUUUGCUAGCCCCCUGGCAGAGAUGCCUGUCCUUGCAGUCCUGAACUGGUGGCCAAGUGUGCAUGCAUGCACGUGCAGGUGUGUGCAUGUGCAGGUGUGCAUGCGUGUAUGUGCGCACACACAUUCAUGCUUGUACAUGUUUGUGUACACGCACACUUUUUUCUGCUUUCAAUUUCAAGCUGUUGCCUCCCUGAUGUGUCUGUUUAGUGACUUGAGCCAGAAAGAUUCCCGGUUCUAUGUGGGAUGAGAAUGAACGCAGGCAGGUCUCCACAGAAGUGAGUAAAGUAGAGCUGAGAAGAAGGACAUUGUCUCAUGCCAGCCUGUCCAAUAGCCACUUUGCCCCAGCCCUGCCUCAAGCCCCAGAGAGAUGACAAGGCUCUCUCUGUUUGUCGACUCCUUGAAGCUCAGAAAGGUGGGUCAAGAGGUGCCCGUCAAGCGUUUAGGCAAGCACAGGACCCUGAUCUUUACUAAGUCUCCACAUCUCUCUUGCACAGCCCUGGGCUCAGGGCUUGGUCCCCUCUGGGCAGGCCAUCCAGACUAAGUGACAGUCAGAUUGUGUGUGGGGAGGCUAGAGACAUCCAUUCUUCAUGGAUCAGCCUGAAUGGCUGGACAGAUCUUGCAAAUGGAUUGUGUAAGACAGAGUGUGGAAGAGGAGGCUGUGAUCAGUGGCUUGGAGAGCAGAGUGUGGUCAGGCGCUAAACCUAAGGCUUUUCUGGGAAGAGCUGUUAAGAUUAGACUGUUCUCCCAAAAAGCCAAUAAUUCUGAGUGUCUCCAUUAAUGCCUAGGUAGCCCAUACUCUCACCCAGCCGGUGCCCUUCAGCCUGGAACCUUUGGAUGGAGGAUUGGACCUUGUGACCUUCAAGUUCCCUUCCGAACCAAAUAUGCUCUAACCCAGGAGAUGGUGCUGUUGCCCAGGAAGCCGGUCACCAUGACGAGAGUACCCGCUCAGAUGAGGAUGCAGGCGGAGGCGGUGAAGGUGCUGGAGGCCAGGAUGCUGAGGUAGCUGCUCCUCUCCACCAGGGUCCAGAUGCCCAUGGCCAGGACAGCUGCCCCCCUGACCUGCAGGAGACCACCAGGUUGGAGCAGGGGGUGGCGGGGGCCUCAGGAGCUGCCAUUCCUUGAGUGCCCGCUGGGUACCAGGCACUUCUCGUGCAUUGUCUUAUUCAAUUUAGGCCUCCUAAGAGCCUGUGAGAACAGUGUGGUGGCCUAGCUUUACAGAUGAGGAAACGGAGGCUGAGAGAGGUUUGCAGGCUUGUCCAAGGUCACACAUGUAAGCGAGCUGCAGAUUUUGAAUCUGGGUCUGACUUCUGAUUCUGUGCAUCUUACUAUGGUUCCUACUGCAUAUGAGGCGGGGAGAAAUGACUUCAGUUUUGGGGAUGACUAAUAUACCUGAGUCCCUUCGCCUCCCCUCCCCUCAGAGCGCUCCCUCCCUCUGUCCACGUUUCCCUGAUGGAUGUGGAGGUGCCAUUUUGAGCACCUCCCCUUGUUCAAUCCUUAUAUUUGCCCAUUGGGGAAGCACGGCUGGGCCCCUUAUCCCUCCCUGUUCUACAGAGGAAGGAACUGAGGCCCAUGGAGGAGAGGUAAAUGGCCCGAGUUAGGGGCAGGGCCAGGACCAGGACUCAGAGCCCAGGGCCUGCUUGCUCAGUCUCGCUGCCUCCAUGAUGGAAGGGCCACUGUGCUGGACAAGUUGGAGCUCCCUGGGACCACAGGAGGAGGGAGGAGAGCCUUCUUUGCUGUCUGACUCCCUUUCAGUCCUGAGAGGGGGCAGGGACGGGACACUGCUGAUUUGCAGGUCUGGGGGAUGCCUUCUUGGAAAUAGAGUACCUGGGAAAUGUAGCUGGGGUGGUGGGGCUUGACUGUUCUUUCCUGCCAUGAAGCUGAGGAGCCUUUUAGUGACUGUUAUCCUCAGCAGAGCAUAGUGGGUGGGUGCAAGUGUCCUCAAGGUGCCAGAUGGGGGCUGUUUGGAGUGUUUUCCCAGGAUUUGGGUCCUCUGGGACCUCUGACCAUCUCUGUCAUUUGCUCCUGGGAAGGUGGACUUCUGUCUCCCAGUCUCUCUGCCCGCCAUUUAGGGACGGGUCCAUUUCCUCUGAUGGUCAGUAGAUGCUUCCUCAAGGGGUCUUGGGUGUAGCCAAAGCUAGAGAAGCCCUCCCGGGCUCUGUUCACAUCCCCUGAUGCUUUUCCCUGCAAGUUGUCUCCCGUCUGCCCCAGGAAGACUCUCUGUAUAACCUAACCUGUCACUUCCCAGUUCUCUGUUCCGGGGAGUCGCAGACCUUGGCUGAGUAAAUGGAAGGUGGUUCUUAGCAAUGAACAGGCACCUACAUUACUCAACUCGCAAGUAUUUUACCAUUUUGCCAUUUUCUCUUCUGAGCUUUGCAACAGCUCUGUGAGGAUGGGGCCGGGCAGGAGGGGCCAGGCUAUCCCUGUCUUGCAGAUAAGAAAAUUGAGGCUUGGAGAGAAUAAGAAUGUGCCCAAGAUGACACCAUCAGAGGGUCAGAAUUGAGGUGCAAACCCAGUUAUUUGAGGGCAAAUCCAGGCCUCUGUCCUUGGAUCCCCCAGAGUAGGCUGGGCCUGCUUCUCUCUUACUUCUACGUUUUUAAUAGACAUGAUUUCUUCAAAGUGCCAUUUUAUCUCCAUAGGUACCUCCAGACACCACCCAGGCUGCAGCAAAUGGAAUGGGAGAGGCUAACACACCAUAAUUUUUCAAUUCCAUGAUGCCCAUUUUUUCUCACAUUUUAACGUCUCUAAAAUUGGGGCACAUCUUAUGAUUGAUGGCAUCUUACAAUUACACUUGGCAGUACUUUUUCUUGGUGAUACAAAAAAACAACAGUGUAUCUUACAACUGAUAGCUUAGAUUCAGUGAAAUCCUAGAAUACAACAGGUUUGAAAAUUC
ensembl:lncRNA LINC02827 long intergenic non-protein coding RNA 2827